rnacentral:tRNA from 1 species
UAGCUCAGUUGGUAGAGUGCUUGCUUUGCAAGCAUCAAGGCCCUGGGUUCAAUCCCCAG